CGGGGGGGGUGUCGGAGAGUGACAUAGGCAAGUCACUAGAGAGUCCGUGCUCCCAAGCUGGAGGCAGGAGGCAUUGGGUCACCCGGAACGGAGGAUCGCCAGGGCGCUUCGGCUGUCUGGCACCUCCUCCUCCUCAGCGAUCGCUUUUGCACGAGAAUGUAACCAUCCUCACGUUAAGAACGGUCGAUUCGGAAAAGUUCAAAAACGAACGGUCAAACGGAGAGCCUCAACCCGCUUUCGCUGCUACUUCUGGGGACAGAGAUGAAGCUAGAAGGUGGAGAUUUCAACCGUGCAGGUGCAGCUGUGCAAGAAUAUAUUCCUAAACAGAUACCCUGAUCCUGGAUAUAUCGGAUGAAAUCCAAGCAUGGAUCCAGAAGUUAAUCACUUCUAAGGCUGCAAUCCUAUACUCACCUGGCAAUCCUUGAAAGAGGAAGAUCAAAGAGGAGCUGAAGACUUCAGAGUUUCAACAACUAUCAUGAUAGAGGUCAGGCUCCCUGACAUACCACAUCAAACAACUACUCAGGAAAAGACACCAGAAGGACAUAAGAUGAACCCAGCUGGACCACACCAAAGGCCCAUCUAUUCCAGCAUCCUGUUUCCCACAGUGGCCAACCAGAUGCCUCUGGGAAGACUACACAUAACCCCCCCCCACUAUUAUUCUCCAGUUGACUGGUAAUUAAGAGCCAUGCUGCUUCUGAUUCUGGAGGCAGCAUAUAGUAAUCAUGACUGGUAGCCACUGGCAGCCUCUGUGAAUUUGUCCAACUCCUAAUAAAGCUGUCUACAUUGGAAGCCGUCAUCCAUAAGCUCAGCUGUUGAUGUAAUCAGUAGCAGGGCAUCUACAACCCAUGACACCUCAUCACUAGCAGGAUCUUUCACUUUACAGGAAUGCAUCUCCCGACAUGAACCCACCUGAACACUAUGCUCAACAUCAAAGGCCCUCCUCUGGGUGCCUACUGCGAGGGAAGCUCGGAGGAUGGCAAUAAGGGAGAGGGCCUUCUCAGUGGUGGCCCCCAAAUUAUGGAAUGAUCUUUUUGAUGAGGUGUGCCUGGCACCAGCACUGUUAUCUUUUUGGCACCAGGUCAGGAUGUUCCUCUUCUCCCAGGCAUUUUAGCAUGUGUUUUUAAAUUGCUUUCUAAAAAUGUGUUUUUAAAUUUGUAUAUUUGUUUUUAAUGUUUGUAAUUGUUGUAAACCGCUUAGAGAGCUUUGGCUAUGGGGCGGUAUACAAAUGCAAUAAAGAGAUAAAUUACUGAGAAGCAUCCCACAACACUGCAUGCCAACAGAGGAAGGAGGCAUCCAUGAAUGUGUGGCAGAACAUAAUCUUAUUUCAUCUGGGCUAUUUUUUUACACCACCUCCCUGGUGAAUUUGGUGUAGUGUACAAUCACUGCAGGAAAUGUGUAAGGUUGGGGAGGGGAGAAGAUAGCACAAAGUUGGGGACCACAUCAGCGCACAGAUGCCUGACAGUGCACUACCCCACUCUCCUCCUCAAGAAGCAGAGAUUGCCUGCCGCAAAGUCUCACACACACUAGUGGCAUUGCCUGAUGUCAUACACAUGCCUAUGUCCCAGUCUUCAUUCGCUUCAGCAAUGAAGCAGUUGACACACUGAUUCAUUGAUGCAGCCUUUCUCUCUGAUGGAGUUCAUUCCAGGAAAUUCAUUAAGUGAUGUGUGCCACAGUGGAAGAUGUCAGUUAUCCAUACUCUGGAUAAAUAUAGGAUUGACUACGGUAACAUAUUGCAUGUGGGGCUGCCUUUAAAGAUUGUUUGGACACUUCAAUUACUUCAAAAUGCAGGAUUAUAUCCAAUACUAGUCAUAAUAGACCCACUGAGAAAAACAGCCAAGACAAAAUUAGGUCCAUUCACUUCAAUGGGUCUACACUGAGUAGAAUUUAAUUGGACACAGCCCACAGUCUUCAAACUAUUGAUUGGGAACAUAUCUUGCCAGCACUGAAAUAACUUCAUGGGCUUGCAGGCUGUUUGUGAGCACAAUUUAAGGUGCUCGCUGCAGUAAUAGAUAUAAUGUGUGGCCCUUCAGAAGUUGUUUGACUCCAGCUUCCAUUGACUCCAGCCAACAUGGCCAAUGGUCAGGAAUGGUGGGAACUGUAGUUUGGUAACAUCUGGAGGUCCACAGGUUAGCCAACCCUGCUUUAAAUGUCUAUACAUCUUAGGAUCCAGGUUCCUGAAGGAACACUUGCUUCCAUAUACUAACUUGCCCAUGUACUGAGGCCAUAUUUUGGGGGCUCUCCUCCAAGCCCCCUACCAUCUUUAACAACCAUAGUUUGUGACCAGAGACCAUCCUUCUAAUUGGUGGCACCCCAGUUGUAAAAUUCUCUCCUCGAAGAUGCCCGCCUGGCAUCAACUUUGUUAUCCUUUUGACACCAGGCUAAGGCAGCCCCCCCCCACUUUUAAACAUAUUAAUAAAUGUUUAAAUAUGCCACCCUGGGCACCUUCAAGGAGGAAGGGUGGGAUAAAUGUAAUAAAUAAAUAAUAAAUAAACAUGCUGUGCAUGCUUUAUUUGUAUCUUAUCUUGAUUUUGUAAACUUCCCUGGAACCUCUGCUGUCU